UUCUAUACGUGUGUUUCUUGGAAUGUUAUAGAAUCAAAGUAUAUCAAUAUCCACUAUUAUAUUUACCAUCUUCCUCCGUCAGUAUACUUAUGGGAGCACUCCGAACUCCUUCACCUUUGAGUGUACUAGCAGACACCUCAAUGAUAUAUUGGGUAUAUUUCUUCAGUACUAAAGAGAAAUCAAAUAGAUGGGAUAUCCUCUCCCAACCCAUCCAGCAACCUCUAUAACAGGGGUCCCCAAUCCCAGCGCCACGGACUAGUACCAGCUGGUGGCCUGUUAGGAACUGGGCCACACAGCAGCCUCAUUCCUAGCAACCAGCCAAGCCCUUAGCACAAGACUUUCUUCUUACAUUCACCAGUGACAAACGUUGAUAUUCUCAAGGAAUAUGUUGGAUGAAAAGAUGCAUCUAUAUCAAUCUCAGAAGUCUGUAAUACUAGGCAGCAAUAUGUCUGUUGGAGAAAAAUGUCUCAGGUUUCUAAUUGAACAAGUACUGGAUGGGAUCUGACUGUGAAGUUCAAGCAAAGAGCAGUCCACGGAAAUGACUUCAGGGUUUUUUAGACUUCAGUCUCAGUGGAAUGAGGCUCCCAAUGAAAUGAUUUUUUUUUAUUUCACUGUUUUGAAAGAAGGAAGAAAUUUACUUCGAAGGAGAAAAUAAUUAUGCUCAAUUUGGCUCCAUUCAAACUCCAUACAGAAUAUUGUGUUCAAGUGAGUAAGAGGAUCCUUGACAAACUGGAAAAUAUGCACAGGAAUAUAAUCCAUGAUAUGAAGGACCUAGAAGCCAUGACUAAUAAAAACUAAGGAUAUUAAGUCUUCGGAAAACUCUGACCAUUAUCUUCAAUGAGAAAGAGUUAAAUCAUUGUUUAUUAUUGUUGUUACUGCAAAGGCUAACAUUUUAAGCUACUGUGUGUUACAGAGUGUUAAAUACUUUUACUCAUGUGAUCUUGCUUUAUUGUCCCCCCAAAGAGAUAGAUGAUUUUUAUCUCCAUUUUACAGUCAUCUGUUCAAGUUCACAAAACUAGUGACAGCAGAGGUAGGAUUGGAACAUUUUUCCUGGCUCCAAAGUUCAUGUUCAUAACCACUGGAAUCUACUGUGUUGGUCUAGAGAGGAGACUUAGGACGAACUGAUGAAAAUUAAAAGACAGGUAUUUCAGUUCAAAGUAAAGAACACCGUAGUUUCUUAUUCAUCUAUGGGUUUCUGUACCUAACAGAGUGCCUAAAACCUCAUGAUUACUUAAGAAAUAGAUGCUUAUGGGACCAUAACAAAGAAUACUUCAAAGCUUAUAGGAUAGGAGCUACUUUUGCAGUGGUAGAUAUCCUAUAACAGUUGAUCAAAUAUUUUAGCAGAGGCUGGAUUCACCUCAUUUAUUAGGAAUGUUAUAGAUCAGAUACAUAUAUAAGUGUGGAAGUUGAAAUAAAAGAUCUCAAACCCUGAGACUCAUUUUGCUAAUGUAAUUUUCAAAUAUUUGUUUAAAUAUUAACAGUAAAAUCUUAUACAUAUUUCAGCUUGUUUAAAUAAUCCAUAUUUAUUCAGAAACAAAUAGAUCAUGGGAUUCACUGGAAAAAAAUUCAAUAAGGGUAAUGAGAUCAAAUCAUGCCUAGCAUAGGAGGGUUAUAUUUUUAAGUUUAAUCAUCAUGUUAUAUCUACAUGGCUACAAAAAAAGAUGAUGAAGGGUUUAUAAUGAAAAUAACAAUUCCCUGUUUAUACCCUCCCUACCUCUUACUUCCCAGAAGCAACACUUUAA
rnacentral:lncRNA from 10 species